rnacentral:snRNA from 1 species
GUCCUUACUUUGGUAGCACAUAUACUAAAAUUGGAAUGAUACAGAGAAGAUUAGAUUAGCAUAUCCCCUGCCACAAGGAUGACACACAAAUUCAUAAAAUCUUCCGAAAUCUAU